GAUGAACGCUGGCGGCGUGCCUAAUACAUGCAAGUCGAGCGAACAGAUAAGGAGCUUGCUUCUUUGACGUUAGCGGCGGACGGGUGAGUAACACGUGGGUAACCUACCUAUAAGACUGGAAUAACUCCGGGAAACCGGGGCUAAUGCCGGAUAACAUUUAGAACCGCAUGGUUCUAAAGUGAAAGAUGGUUUUGCUAUCACUUAUAGAUGGACCCGCGCCGUAUUAGCUAGUUGGUAAGAUAACGGCUUACCAAGGCAACGAUACGUAGCCGACCUGAGAGGGUGAUCGGCCACACUGGAACUGAGACACGGUCCAGACUCCUACGGGAGGCAGCAGUAGGGAAUCUUCCGCAGUGGGCGAAAGCCUGACGGAGCAACGCCGCGUGAGUGAUGAAGGUCUUCGGAUCGUAAAACUCUGUUAUUAGGGAAGAACAAAUGUGUAAGUAACUGUGCACGUCUUGACGGUACCUAAUCAGAAAGCCACGGCUAACUACGUG
rnacentral:rRNA from 1 species